UGGGGCGUCGGCAAGUGGUUAAAGCCACCGGGUUUUGAUCCCGGCACACGCAGGUUCGAAUCCUGCCGCCCCAG
rnacentral:tRNA from 1 species